rfam:Schistosoma rodhaini strain Burundi genome assembly, scaffold: SROB_scaffold0006970
GCACUACUGAGGAGUCCCACAAUAGGACAAAACGACCGUCCAGUGC